rnacentral:rRNA from 1 species
UGGCGUCUUCGGCGUCCGCCUUGAAAACACGAGACGUGUUUUCCGUGCGGCUCUAUGGACAAGUCCCUUGGAACAGGGCAUCGUAGAGGGUGAAAAUCCCGUACUUGCCAUGGAAGUACCGUGCUUUGUGAUACACGCUCCAAGAGUCGAGUAGUUUGGGAUUGCUGCUCAAAGUGGGUGGUAGACUCCAUCUAAAGCUAAAUAUCGGGGAGAGACCGAUAGCGAACAAGUACCGUGAGGGAAAGAUGAAAAGCACUUUGGAAAGAGAGUUAAAAGUACGUGAAAUUGUCGAAAGGGAAGCACUUGAAGUCAGCCAUGCUGCUUGAGACUCAGCCUGGCUUUUGCUUGGUGUAUUUCUCGGUAGCAAGCCAGCAUUGGUUUGUGUCGUCGGAGAAGCGCAUGGGGAAUGUGGCAUCCUCGGAUGUGUUAUAGCCCUGUGCAGGAUACGACGACGUAGACCAAGGAACGCAGUGUGCCCUCUGGGCGGGUCUUCGGA